rnacentral:lncRNA from 10 species
UUCAGACUCUGGCUGGGUGCAAUGACUCAUGCCUGUAAGGUUCAGACUCUGGCUGGGUGAAGUGCUCAUGCCUGUAAGGUUCAGACUCUGGCUGGGUGCACUGCUCAUGCCUGUAAGGUUCAGACUCUGGCUGGGUGCAAUGACUCAUGCCUGUAAGGUUCAGACUCUGGCUGGGUGAAGUGCUCAUGCCUGUAAGGUUCAGACUCUGGCUGGGAGUAGGGGCUCAUGCCUGUAAGGUUCAGACUCUGGCUGAGUGCAGUGCUCAUGCCUGUAAGGUUCAGACUCUGGCUGGGUACAAUGACUCAUGCCUGUAAGGUUCAGACUCUGGCUGGGUGCAGUGCUCAUGCCUGUAAGGUUCAGACUCUGGCUGGGUGCAGUGCUCAUGCCUGUAAGGUUCAGACUCUGGCUGGGAGUAGGGGCUCAUGCCUGUAAGGUUCAGACUCUGGCUGGGUACAAUGACUCAUGCCUGUAAGGUUCAGACUCUGGCUGGGAGUAGGGGCUUAUGCCUGUAAGGUUCAGACUCUGGCUGGGUGCAGUGCUCAUGCCUGUAAGGUUCAGACUCUGGCUGGGUGCAGUGACUCCUGCCUGUAAGGUUCAGACUCUGGCUGGGUGCAGUGACUCAUGCCUGUAAGGUUCAGACUCUGGCUGGGAGUAGGGGCUUAUGCCUGUAAGGUUCAGAUUCUGGCUGGGUGCAGUGCUCAUGCCUGUAAGGUUCAGACUCUGGCUGGGUGCAGUGACUCAUGCCUGUAAGGUUCAGACUCUGGCUGGGUACAAUGACUCAUGCCUGUACGGUUCAGACUCUGGCUGAGUACAAUGACUCAUGCCUAUAAUCCCAGCACUUUGGAGGCUGAGGCAGGAGGAUCACUUGAGCCCAGGAGUUCGAGACCAGCCUGGGCAACAGAGUGAGACCCUGUCUCUAC